rnacentral:rRNA from 1 species
GUGUCAGCCGCCGCGGUAAUACGUAGGUGGCAAGCGUUGUCCGGAUUUACUGGGCGUAAAGGAUGUGUAGGCGGAUAUUUAAGUGAGAUGUGAAAUCCCCGGGCUUAACUUGGGGGCUGCAUUUCAAACUGGAUGUCUUGAGUGCAGGUGGGGAAAGCAGAAUUCCUAGUGUAGCGGUGAAAUGCGUAGGUAUUAGGAAGAAUACCAGUGGGGAAGGCGGGUUUCUGG